AACGUAGGACACAAGCGUUAUCCGGAGUUACUGGGCGUAAAGGGCGUGUAGGCGGAUCGGUAAGUCUACUCUGAAAGCUCCUGGCUAAACUGGGAGAGGCGAGUGGAGACUGUCGGUCUAGAGUGAGGAAGAGGAAAGUGGAAUUCCGCGUGUAGUGGUGAAAUGCGUAGAGAUGCGGAAGAACACCAGUGGCGAAGGCGGCUCACUGGUCCGGUACUGACGCUGAGGUGCGAAAGCGUGGGGAGCGAACAGG
rnacentral:rRNA from 1 species